UUCUACUCAAUUUUCAAUUGAAAAUAACUAGAACCCCUCUCGAGACGAAAUGAAAGGAGAAGCCUAACCACGAGACUCCUGAUUCUGUUCCUUUAUAUCGCACCCCCCUUGGUCGCUAUUCACUUCAGUUCAGUUCUGGUUUGCUAUUUUCGACCAAUUUCCGCACAGCUUCAGGUCGGGCUGCUGUUUGUUUAACACCUCGUUCAAGGAUAGCGCGAACCAGAAAGAUGAUUUUUUACAGCAGACACUUAAAAAACACAGCGGAGCCAAGACAAAGUCAAAGUCAAGAAACCUGUUACAAUGGCUUGCAUAACGGAUCGCCACCAGAGCUGAGAAGAGCAGAGAAGAGCUGUAGGGAAAACCCCUUGCGGAGAACGCGGCAGCAUCCAGGCCAUUGUCACCGAUGCUGUUCGUAUAAUAAAAACUCUCUCGAGUGCUUGAAAGCCAGGCGGGAGGGAGACUCGGAACAGUUUGAAGUGGCCGCGAGAGUCCACCGUCUCCGACUGUGUCACCUAAAUGCGUUCCAGGAACGAGAGUGCCUCUCAAGACCAUUCAAUAAAUGAUUCUGGUCAAUGGCAGGGAGUGGCCACAAACGAAAUCCCAUUGAGAGAGAUGACCCGACAAUGAUAAAACCCGACUAUGCCCGGAAUGUGGUUGUGCCCUCAGCUAUUUAUGGAUUCAUUGGGUAAUUUCUAAGAAUUUUUCAUAAGUAUUUCUCCGUUUUUAUCACAUAACUGUUUGAUACGCAAAAUGUCGGCAUAUAAACGCAGCUGGUUAUAUGGAGGACCAGGAGAUAUGGAUGAGUUAUAGCUUUGGGGAGUCGAAACUGGGUAAGGGUAUACAAAUAUGCAAAAUUCUAGCAAAAAUUAUCGGCUGUGAUAAGAAAUGAUUGAUACCCUGAAAAGCGUGACUGGUCCCCAAGGCCCCAUACCAAAAUAUAUUUCUUUUAGGAACAAUUUCCCUAGAGCUAUGAAAAGUAAAGCAUUGGGCAAACCUUUUGAAGGAGCUGUGCAAAAGUAGGGUAUGGCCCGGGGCAUUAUCAAUGGUUGAAUUGGAGCACUCUUCCGAAACUUUUUAUAUAUAUGACUUGCUUCAUUCAGAACCCAAAGCACGCGCCAGCCAUAGUAAAUAUUGAAAGAAAUAAGAACAAGAAAGCCAAAUAAAUCAAAU